rnacentral:ncRNA from 3 species
GACGAAGGUGGCGACCGUUGUUCGGAAUCACUGGGCAUAAAGAGCACGUAGGCGGAGGCUGUAAGUCGGGUGUGAAAUCCCUCGGCCCAACCGAGGAACUGCGCCCGAAACUGCGUCUCUUGAGGGUGGGAGGGGAACGUGGAAUUCCUGGUGGAGCGGUGAAAUGCGUUGAUAUCAGGAGGAACACCGGCGGCGAAGGCGACGUUCUGGCCCACUUCUGACGCUGAGGUGCGAAAGCUAGGGGAGCAAACGGG